rnacentral:rRNA from 1 species
CGGUAACGACGGCCGUUCGGGUGCUGACGAGUGGACGGAACGGGUGAAGUAAUGCAGUACGGAACGCCGACCCAAUCGGUGGGGAAUAACGUAGACGAAAGUUACGCUAAUACCGCAUAAGCCCUGAGGGGGAAAGCAGGGGAUCGCAAGACCUUGCGCGAAUGGAGCGGCCGAUGUCAGAUUAGCUAGUUGGUGGGGUAAAGGCCUACCAAGGCGACGAUCUGUAGCGGGUCUGAGAGGAUGAUCCGCCACACUGGGACUGAGACACGGCCCAGACUCCUACGGGAGGCAGCAGUGGGGAAUUUUGGACAAUGGGCGCAAGCCUGAUCCAGCCAUGCCGCGUGCGGGACGAAGGCCUUCGGGUUGUAAACCGCUUUCAGCCGGAAAGAAAUCGCCAAGGCUAAUAUCCUUGGUGGAUGACGGUACCGGAAGAAGAAGCACCGGCUAACUACGUG